GAUGAACGCUGGCGGCGUGCUUAACACAUGCAAGUCGAACGAAACACCUUAUUUGAUUUUCUUCGGAACUGAAGAUUUGGUGAUUGAGUGGCGGACGGGUGAGUAACGCGUGGGUAACCUGCCCUGUACAGGGGGAUAACAGUCAGAAAUGACUGCUAAUACCGCAUAAGACCACAGCACCGCAUGGUGCAGGGGUAAAAACUCCGGUGGUACAGGAUGGACCCGCGUCUGAUUAGCUGGUUGGUGAGGUAACGGCUCACCAAGGCGACGAUCAGUAGCCGGCUUGAGAGAGUGAACGGACACAUUGGGACUGAGACACGGCCCAAACUCCUACGGGAGGCAGCAGUGGGGAAUAUUGCACAAUGGGGGAAACCCUGAUGCAGCGACGCCGCGUGAGUGAAGAAGUAUUUCGGUAUGUAAAGCUCUAUCAGCAGGGAAGAAAAUGACGGUACCUGACUAAGAAGCCCCGGCUAACUACGUG
rnacentral:rRNA from 1 species